GGGCUGGAGAGAUGACUCAGCGGUUAAGAGCACUGCCUGCUCUUCCAGAGGUCCUGAGUUCAAUUCCCAGUAACCACAUGGUGGCUCAAAACCACAUGGUGGCUCACAACCAUUUGUAAUGGGAUCCUACGCCCUCUUCUGGUGUGUCUAAAGAUAGCGAAUAGGUACUCACAUAAAAUAAAUAUUAAAAAAAAAAAAAAAAAGGAAAAAGAAAAACCAGAGAGCAACUGUACGAGGGAAACCCUAUCUAUCAUGUGGUUUCCGUUCUAGUAAACCCAGACAAUUACAGAGAGUGGUGAAUCUCAAAAAAGUAAAAACAAGGUUGUGUGACCAGAACGUAUGCCUACGGAUGAGAGCUUCUUCCGGACGAGAUACUGAAGACCCUAGCACACGCAGGUACUGAUUCGACUUGCAGCACCACAAAGAAAAUAUGAUUUAGAGAAUUAAAAAUGACGUCUGUGGCUUGUUUUAAAAUUCUGUCAUGUUCGCGUCAGGGCUGGUGGAGUGUAAAGGUCUGAGCACCAGGGGGCAGUAGCGGUCAGGAAAAAGAAGGCCCGUUAAAGAAAAAAAAACGAUCUCUUCUGGGCUUUACUUUAGGCGACCUUGUCAGAGCGCUGCUGUGAUACACUCCCUGGAUUCCGCAGCCCUCGGCUGACACAGGUGAAAUUGAGAAAGAGGUAGGAAGGGUUCCAAGGAGGGGUGACAGCGUCGACCUGCUGGGCUUUCUCAUCCUCUAACCACCUCUGGCUAACAUCCUCCUGCCAGGGGAACAGUUCCACCCCCUGGGCUGAGCCGGUGCCAAACAACAGGUGGUAGUCAAGGUAAACAGGGCAAUAAAGUUCAUCAAGGUUAAUUUAUGGGAAAUAAAUGUGACUGUACCCCAUUUUCAUCCAUUAACAUUCUAAACACCUUGUUCAAAAUGCCCAGGAGUAUUUCUGGCUGCCAGGAAAGUUAUCAUUAGGGAAAAAGAGCCGGGUGGUGACUGGGGGAGGGGGGGGGGAUGGCUGAAUUCGCUUUUUAUUUUAUUUAAUUUAUUUUUUUAUUUUUUAAAAACAGGUCUCUCUACAUAUCCCUGGCUGUCCUGGAGUUCACUAUGUAGACCAGGUUGGCCUCUAAGUCAGAGAUACCCCUGCUUCAGUCCCCAGAGUGCUGGGUUUAAAAUCAUGUGCCACCAUACAGGGUCAGGGUUGAAGUCACUUUAUUAUUAGGCCUCCACUGAGAACCCUGCCUCCCCAGUGCUGGGACUAAAGGCGUGCGCCACCACGCCCGGCUUAAAAAACUUUUUGAGACAGAGUUUCUCUAUGUAAUUCUGGCUGUUCUGGAACUCACUCUAUAGACCAGGAUGGCCUUGAACUCAUAAAGAUCCACUCUGCCUCCCAAGAGCUGGGAUUAAAGGUGUGCACUACCAUUAAAGUAGUGUACCAGUCUACUUUUAGUUAAUUUUUGCAGAGGAUAUGAGGUAGGGGUGGGUAUAGUUUCUGCUUUUGUGUGUCCCAAUAUUGUUUGUUGAGUUGUCUUGGAAUCCUUGUUUAAAAUCCAUUAUCCAUAAAGAAAUGUAGCAAUAUAACUCCUAGUGAUAUUCUCCUAUACUUCCAGGUCAGCCAACAUCAGAGAAGCUUCCUCCUGCAGUAGGUGGGAGUGAACUCAGAGACCCACAGCUGGACAAUGGCAGAGACUGAGAGAUGAACGGCUCAACCUAGAUGGCAUGUCUCCAUCAACCCCCUAUCUUUAGGACCCCAGGAACCUUUUAGAAGAGGAGGAAGAAAGAUUGCAAGAACAGUGGGAAUGGAGGACAAAGAACACAGUGUCUCUACACAACAGGGCUGAUGCACACGUGGGCUCCCAGCAACCAUGGCAGCACGCACAGGGCCUGCACAGGCCUAAGCCAUGUGGAGUCCCAUUGCUGAGAGGAGGUCACCAGCCCUCAUCCCUAACCCAGAAGCUAUCUCCAACUGCAACUGCUCACAAAGGAAAAAGCUCAUUUUUCCAACCAAGUGUCACUGGGUCUACAGACCACACUUAAGUGUAAGGUCUAUGCCCAGCAUUAGAUGGCCAAGUCACAAUGGACCCAGUGGUUGACUCUCUCUCUCUCUCUGCAUGUGUGCGUGUGCGUGUGUGUGCACUUGUGUUUGUGCAUGCAUACCAUGUAUGUGCUUUUCAAUCUUUUUUUUGUUGUUCUAUGCUGUUUUUACUUCUUAAUUGUUAUUUGCCUAUUCAUUUUCUAAAGCUAGAGAGAAAGAAGAUGUGGCGUUAGAUGGAUGGAAAGGUGGAGAGGAUCUGGGAGGAGAGGAGGGAAGGGAAGCCAUCACAUCCUAAGGAUAUAUUCUAUGGAAACAUAUACUCUUAAUAAAAAAUCUAUUAGCUAUGGAUAUAUUCUUAUUAUUUUAGCUCUCUGUAUUUUAAGUUCCAGUUUUUUUCUCUGUGAAGUGAUGAUUAUUAUCCAGACAGAUGUCCAUCAACUGGAGGGUGUGCAAUGUCUGAGUCAAGAGUAUUUUAGGGGCUGUGAUAGCUCAUUUGUUUUUUUAUAUAUGGAAAAAAUAACUUUUAGGUCAAAGAAAAUGUCUUACAAUUUUUCUUACAAUUAUAGUACUGUUUGUGCCAAUGUUUAUUAUAAGAGAAUUAAAAAAA
rnacentral:lncRNA from 1 species